UAACUGAAGAGUUUGAUCAUGGCUCAGAUUGAACGCUGGCGGCAGGCUUAACACAUGCAAGUCGAGCGGGGGAAGGUAGCUUGCUACCGGACCUAGCGGCGGACGGGUGAGUAAUGCUUAGGAAUCUGCCUAUUAGUGGGGGACAACAUCUCGAAAGGGAUGCUAAUACCGCAUACGUCCUACGGGAGAAAGCAGGGGAUCUUCGGACCUUGCGCUAAUAGAUGAGCCUAAGUCGGAUUAGCUAGUUGGUGGGGUAAAGGCCUACCAAGGCGACGAUCUGUAGCGGGUCUGAGAGGAUGAUCCGCCACACUGGGACUGAGACACGGCCCAGACUCCUACGGGAGGCAGCAGUGGGGAAUAUUGGACAAUGGGGGGAACCCUGAUCCAGCCAUGCCGCGUGUGUGAAGAAGGCCUUAUGGUUGUAAAGCACUUUAAGCGAGGAGGAGGCUACUUUAGUUAAUACCUAGGGAUAGUGGACGUUACUCGCAGAAUAAGCACCGGCUAACUCUGUGCCAGCAGCCGCGGUAAUACAGAGGGUGCGAGCGUUAAUCGGAUUUACUGGGCGUAAAGCGUGCGUAGGCGGCUUAUUAAGUCGGAUGUGAAAUCCCCGAGCUUAACUUGGGAAUUGCAUUCGAUACUGGUGAGCUAGAGUAUGGGAGAGGAUGGUAGAAUUCCAGGUGUAGCGGUGAAAUGCGUAGAGAUCUGGAGGAAUACCGAUGGCGAAGGCAGCCAUCUGGCCUAAUACUGACGCUGAGGUACGAAAGCAUGGG
rnacentral:rRNA from 1 species